rnacentral:rRNA from 1 species
GCGUGAGUGAAGAAGGCCUUCGGGUUGUAAAGCUCUUUUGGCGGGGACGAUGAUGACGGUACCCGCAGAAUAAGCCCCGGCUAACUUCGUGCCAGCAGCCGCGGUAAGACGAAGGGGGCGAGCGUUGUUCGGAAUCACUGGGCGUAAAGGGCGCGUAGGCGGCGCGAUAAGUCAGGCGUGAAAGCCCCAGGCUCAACUUGGGAAAUGCGCUUGGAACUGUCGUGCUAGAGAGCGGGAGAGGAUGGUGGAAUUCCCAGUGUAGAGGUGAAAUUCGU